GUACUUGUUUCGGCAGAACAUAAACUAAAAUGUAAUAAUAAGGAGAAGAAUACCAUGGCCCCUAGAAAAAGAUGACAUGCAAAUGCACAAAGCAUUCCAUAUUUUU